rnacentral:rRNA from 1 species
UGCGUUCUACGGGGGGCAGCAGUGGGGAAUAUUGCACAAUGGGGGAAACCCUGAUGCAGCGACGCCGCGUGAGGGAAGAAGUAAUUCGUUAUGUAAAGCUCUAUCAGCAGGGAAGAAAAUGACGGUACCUGAGUAAGAAGCCCCGGCUAACUACGUGCCAGCAGCCGCGGUAAUACGUAGGGGGCAAGCGUUAUCCGGAUUUACUGGGUGUAAAGGGAGCGUAGACGGCAGUGCAAGUCUGGAGUGAAAGGCGGGGGCUCAACCCCAGGACUGCUCUGGAAACUGUACGGCUGGAGUGAAGGAGG